rnacentral:rRNA from 1 species
UACGGGGGGAGCAAGCGUUGUUCGGAUUUACUGGGCGUAAAGGGCGCGUAGGCGGCCACCGCAAGUCGGUUGUGAAAUCUCUGGGCUUAACCCAGAAAGGUCAAUCGAUACUGCGGGGCUAGAGUGCAGAAGGGGCAACUGGAAUUCCUGGUGUAGCGGUGAAAUGCGCAGAUAUCAGGAGGAACACCUAUGGCGAAGGCAGCUCGCUGGGACGGUACUGACGCUGAGGCGCGAAAGCGUGGGGAGCGAACAGG